GAUUGCGUAGCUCAGUCUGGUAGAGCAGCGGUCUUUUAAACCGCGGGUCCCGGGUUCAAAUCCCGGCGCAAUCA
rnacentral:tRNA from 1 species